CUGAGUUUACACUCUCAAACCAUGUGAAUCUACCACUGUUGCCUCGGUGGUUGGCUUCUCUUCGGAGGGGUCGCCGCCGGCGGACAAACUAAACUCUUGUCAACUUUGUCAAAUCUGAAUCAAAACUAAGAAAUAAGUUA
rnacentral:misc_RNA from 1 species